rnacentral:misc_RNA from 1 species
UAGAUUCAAUGGUUACAACUGUAUAAUUUAAUCAGAAAAUUAAAUUAAUUAAGUUGUAAUUUCGAGAUCAGGAUGAGCCGAGUUUGGUAUGUUGCUAUAUAGGUAUGGAAACCAGUGAUUGAGAAGUGAUGGAUACAUAUUUUGUUAUAUUUGUAAAUAACAGGUAAGAGAAAGCGAUGGAGCAAUGCCAAUGGUGAAAAUAAAUUUGUAGCAGGGCGGGAGGAUGAUGGGGGAUUUUUGUUUAGCAAGUUGUUUUCAGAAUGCUAAAUUUUUAAUGUUAAUUAUAUUAUGGUGGAGUAAUUUGUAAAACAUGCAUCAUUUGAAUUGAAUUCAGUCAACAAAGUCCCCGUUAAAAAUAAUAAAAGGCAGG